GGGCCAGCCCUCCUGCCUCGAGGCCACUGUCAUUUGGGGGUGGGAAAAAAGUGACCGGGGGCAACUGAGCAAAGCGCAGAACAGAAACUCCCUCUCAGUAGAGACCCAUGCACGGAAGGACGAUACACUGCGAUUCCCCGACGUGGGCCUGCAGCGAGAGACGGUGCUAACAGCAUCCCAGCCAAUCUGUAAGCAUCAGGGGGACGAAGGAAUGGUCAACAAGAGGCAGAACCGCAACUGCUCCAAUGCAGAAAGAAUGAGUCAUCCAGGAAGGCAAGUGCCUAAACCACCUGAUGCAUGUAUUUAUUGCGGGUGCUUAUCACACAUGCAGUCAACGAACGCCUCACAAAUGUAUGGUUUACAUAGUCUUUGAUGAACGCAUCUAUUGCUGGAUGUUUCACAUACAGUCUUUGAUGAACACAUCUAUCGCAUCCAGCAGCAUAUCUGUAUUGAAAAAGUCCUUCCAUAGCAUCCAGUAAUGAAAAGGAAGGUGGCAGGGAGCAGUAAUGGACAGUAAAACUAAAAACACCAGGAAGAUCCACAGUGAGAUCAGCAGAACCCUAGGAUGGCAAAUCCACGACAAAAUUUCUGUUGAAUAAAAACGUGCUUGGGUCCAGCCAGCCAUCAGCUUCUUUCAGACACUAUUGACUGCAACAAACUCUAGCACAAGGAGAGAGUCUAAAGAGAAACUUGUUCAGAGGAUGCUGGACCAUCCAUCAGUGAGCACAGCAAACCCGAAAAGGCGGGGACAUGGCAGAACAGGGGCUGCAGGCACACUUGCUGCGUUGUUGAUGGAGCACACACAGAAAGGUCUGCCCAAGACAGUCCCAAAAGGCACAAUUCUACAGAAUCAACCAAGUGGAGGGGAAUGGCAGUGAAAUGCCAAACUCCUGCUGAAAGGUUGACGGGUACAGCCUUCCAGAGACAGCAGUGGGUGACGGGGACCCGGGCACCCAGAGGUCCAGAUCAGCAAAAGAGGCCAGUGACUCUGUCUCCAUCAGAUAAAUUCAGCCACAGUGGGAGGGAGCGUGUGAGACCGACGAAGGCCUCGCCCUGGAUCUGCACUUCACCCUGGUCCAGAGAGAAUUCAGUGGCCAGCAACACUGCCAGUUCCCCUUUAUUUCCCUUGAGGUCAACAUGUUGGAAUUCUCUACUCACAUCCACCAAGACACCCUCCUCGGCCACCUCCACACUCACACUCCAGGCCCACCACUGCCCUUGGGCAUGAGCAAGCCUGACGGUGUCUCUACGUCCUGGUAACACCUUCUUCCCCCGCACACCCCGUCAAACACAUGCAAGUUGUAGACUGAAGUCAUCGGGUCUCCUUAACCAGGCUGCAGCCCCCUAGCACCCUGCCAUGUGGCCUCACAGCUGACGGGGGAACAAACAAGCACCUUCAGACUGGGGCAGCUUCUGAGUGAUAUGCAGAGUUAACUGGGGCACAGAUAAAACAGAAUUUUCCCAAGAUUGCUGAAGGAAAACUAAAACCAAAUAAGGACUGA